GCGAAACUGCGAAUGGCUCAUUAAAUCAGUUAUCGUUUAUUUGAUAGUACCUUACUACUUGGAUAACCGUGGUAAUUCUAGAGCUAAUACAUGCUAAAAACCCCGACUCACGAAGGGGUGUAUUUAUUAGAUUAAAAACCAAUGCCCUUCGGGGCUCUUUGGUGAUUCAUAAUAACUUUUCGAAUCGCAUGGCCUUGCGCCGGCGAUGGUUCAUUCAAAUUUCUGCCCUAUCAACUUUCGAUGGCAGGGUCUUGGCCUGCCAUGGUUACAACGGGUAACGGAGGGUUAGGGCUCGACCCCGGAGAAGGAGCCUGAGAAACGGCUACUACAUCCAAGGAAGGCAGCAGGCGCGCAAAUUACCCAAUCCCGAUUCGGGGAGGUAGUGACAAUAAAUACUGAUACAGGGCUCUUUUGGGUCUUGUAAUUGGAAUGAGUACAAUUUAAAUCCCUUAACGAGGAACAAUUGGAGGGCAAGUCUGGUGCCAGCAGCCGCGGUAAUUCCAGCUCCAAUAGCGUAUAUUAAAGUUGUUGCAGUUAAAAAGCUCGUAGUUGAACCUUGGGCCUGGCUGGCCGGUCCGCCUCACCGCGUGCACUGGUUCGGCCGGGCCUUUCCCUCUGGGGAACCCCAUGGUCUUCACUGAUCGUGGCGGGGAACCAGGACUUUUACUGUGAAAAAAUUAGAGUGUUCAAAGCAGGCAUAUGCUCGAAUACAUUAGCAUGGAAUAAUAAAAUAGGACGUGUGGUUCUAUUUUGUUGGUUUCUAGGACCGCCGUAAUGAUUAAUAGGGACAGUCGGGGGCAUCAGUAUUCAAUUGUCAGAGGUGAAAUUCUUGGAUUUAUUGAAGACUAACUACUGCGAAAGCAUUUGCCAAGGAUGUUUUCAUUAAUCAGGAACGAAAGUUAGGGGAUCGAAGACGAUCAGAUACCGUCGUAGUCUUAACCAUAAACUAUGCCGACUAGGGAUCGGACGGUGUUAUUUUUUGACCCGUUCGGCACCUUACGAGAAAUCAAA
rnacentral:rRNA from 5 species